UACAAGUCUCCUGAACAAUUAUGCACCAGUUCACUGUGAUGUGAUAAAAACAAGGGUUCACAUAGCAUGCAACUUUACUGAUUAUGUGGAAGAGAUCUGAGGUAAGGUUCUCACGGAUCUUUCUUUCGUGCUGGAAAAAUGAGGUGAAACAUCAAAGGUAACUAUAUAAGACAGAGAUAUUGUUGCUCUCUCUGGUGGCUACACCUUGGGUAUUUACUUACUGGGUGUUGUUCAAAUUUAUCAGGGAAGGUGCCACAAAGAACC